rnacentral:misc_RNA from 1 species
ACUACAGUCAUCCAACGGACUAAGCACUUUACAAAGGUCAGAAAGGGGUUAGAAGAAGCCGGCGUCGAAUUACCCUUUUUGAUGUGCCACCUCAAGGCUUAAACUUACAUGGCCCCAUUGCCACUUAUCCCAUUGUCAAUCACCUCUCCUUGCACCUUCUCAUUCAUCUCAUCAAUACCUAUACAAUCUCAUUAUUGUCAUUUGCUGCUUAUUUAUCCUUGAUCGCUCCUUCAGGCUCAGGAAUGCUUCUGCUAGGUUUCUUUUUGUUCUCUCCUUCAGCUUCACACUUAUCCUUACUGAUGACCGUAUCAGCUUUAUCUUGUUCCCCAGACCCAUAUUCUUUGCAAGCCUCAACCAGUGGUUGCAUAUCCUUCUCUUGAACUUUUUCAUCCUCUAUAUUUUCCUUCUUAUUUUCAGAUAUUCCUGAACCAUCAGAUGUCCCUUUGGAGAGCCAAUGCUCUACUUCACCCUUCCCCUCUUCGGUUUUAUCAGAUUUAUCAACAUUCUGUUCAACUUUAGCUUCUUCAGUAGAAGUUGCUUCUGUUUUAGCAUCACUUUCUUGGGGUUUGUCUUUAUUAUCUUCCUGAUUUCCUUUCACAUCCUCCUUUGCAGCUUUCACAUCUGUUUCAUCCUUUCCACUUUUCCCAGCUUCCUGCAUUUGAAUUUGUUUUG